rnacentral:misc_RNA from 1 species
CCACAGAUUAAUCCAGAGGGUCAAACUGAGAAAACAGGUCCAAGGUAGCUGAGAAGUUCAAUGAUAACAUAUAACUAGUUAAGAGAAUAGAAAUCUUAUUCUUUCUUUUGAGGUAUUCUGUUGACGAUUCUCCGUAAAGCGUUCAAACAAACUCAACAAUAAUGUUCAAUUGAAAAUUUCCUGCAAAAUAUAUAUCUCAUACUACAUUUUUUUUUUCUUAUUUUCUCUUCUAUUUUUUGGCAUUUUUCUAUUAUCCAAUGAAGAAGUCCAAACCCUACAGCUUGUCUCACAAAAUAACCAAUAUUUCCCUUCUCUCUACUACUUGUCUUUAGCUGUUAAGAGUUCUAAUAUUUAACAGCUGAACCGUUAUUUUCAUGCCAAGUGCAUGAAACAUUUUUUUCGUCACAUUCUGCCUCCAUCCUCCAGCCAUGACUCAACUUAUUAAACUUUUCUGCAUUUUCCUAUUUUCUCUGCUUCCUUCUCUGCCUACGAGUUUUUUUCUUUGUCUCCGCUCCCCCCGCCCAUUUUCUUUGGCAACACCUUCAUAGACACACCAAAGCUCCAAUUUACUGAAUUCUAGAAGGUCCUUGCUAAAAUUCAACUUCCAUUACUGCAAGCUACACUUCCCAUGGUCUAUUUAGCUUUCUCCUUUUGGCAUCAGGAUUAUUUUGUGAAGAAUUUGUACAUGACCCAACAGUUAUGUCAUCACUUCUAUAGCUCAAGCAUGCAGCAUCCGACACCCCAAAUUGGACUUUGGGGCACAGAUAGGAUUGAAGCAUUUGCACUCUUAAAAGACUCACCAAUCAAUGACAUAUCAUGAAUUAGUUGAAUACACUUCAGUACUCUCUCCUGCAAAAACAAUAAAAAGGAAUAAUUAGCAAAUAUAUAUAUUCAUUUUUAUUGUUAGGAAAAAGGGUCUAGAUGUUGAACUCAUGAUCUUUGCCUUCUACAAAUAUACUAAUUGAGCCAAUCAUAGUUGGUUAUGAUUGUAAAUAACAUGCCUCAAUUGGUCACAUAGAGAGCAAUUACAACCUCAAAGUAUAUUGACCAAAAGUAAAAUCAUCAUUUAUGUUCUCUUUACUAGUUAUGGACCACCAAGGCACCAAUUGACCUUUUCUACAUGUUGAAUGAGAACAGAUAUUGCUUGCUCAGCGUCCACUGUUUUGAUUUCCCCCACAAUAGCUAUGGCCACAGCUGCUGCAAUCUCAGAAGGCCUAAAUUCCAAGAAUUCAAUCCCUUUAACUGUGCAUAAUAUGAGCUGGAUUGAUUGCAAGAUUAAAGAUCUAGGUGGGGUUUCAUCAUUAUUGAUCUUGUUAAGGAAAUGGUCUAUGAAGGAGAAAGGUGUAAUAGCUUGCAUUCUCCAGCUCAAGGUGCUGAGCACAAGAAGCUCCAUUCUUUGGAUAGUUCUUGCUUCAAAUACAAUUUUUGAUUCACCAACCUGUAAAUCUAGAGAAAGUGGAACUUCAGUCUCCUCCAUUUUGGCUGCGAUAGAUAAACAUGCCACGGCCAAUAACUGCAUCAUCCAAGCUUUACCCUUAGGAAGUUCGUAAGCAGAAAGAAAUCUAUCCAAGUAAUUUAUUGAUAAAUAUGCACAUAGUGGUCCAAAACCAAAAUGGGCAUGAACCUUUCCUAUCCAAUCGAUAGCCUCUUUUCUGGCCCCCAAGUCCAAGUCUCCCCUCCUCAGCCUCUUUAAGUAACCCACAUUUGGCAAAUGUUGGCAUUCUUUUUCAACCAUCAAAGCCAAACACUCGUUGCUCGGCAUUGGCAAUUCACCGUCUCCACCACCACCAGAGGACCUGUCUUGAUGGUAUAUUCGGUGAUUCUUAUGAUGCCAUGUGGCCUCAAACUGCUCUAUCACAGCACCAAAGCUAUCGUUAUCAUCGAAAAUGCUAUUAUUAUCGUCCGCACACAGAAGGCUUGAAACCGCACAGUCAAAACUCGGUGCCAUUAAAACCUCUCGAAAAGAAGGAAAAAAAACUCUCUUUGUAUUGUAUCUAAGCGAAGAAGUUCAUUAAACUGAAAUGGUGAUUAAACCUUGGGUUUUUAAUGUGUGUUCCCAGCAAAUACAGAUAUACCCUUGGACAAAGAACACUUUUUUUUGGUAUGAAACAAUCGAAGGACAAAGAAUGAUAUUUCUCAAGAGUGCAAAAGAACAAAAAACUAAUAUGGGUUGAAGCAGUCUAGUCUCUCGUUCACUCACUCUCUCUAUUUCAAAAUUGGGGGCUGAAAAGGCUGCUGCAAACAGGGUUUAUGAAGGAAAUGACAGCCUCUUUUAGGGCAAAAGGCAGAGAGAGAAGGGGAGUGAGGGAGAGCACUAUAUGAAAAUCUCAAGAAAAUGCGAGUGCAUAAUAUACAGAACAGGAAGGGCAAUUACAAGAUUUUGUGGAGAGAGUAAUGUCUAUGCAAAGUGGCGUCUUUAAACACACCCAUUAGAGCUUUUCA